rnacentral:rRNA from 1 species
AAAUUGAAGAGUUUGAUCAUGGCUCAGAUUGAACGCUGGCGGCAGGCCUAACACAUGCAAGUCGAGCGGUAACACAGGGAGCUUGCUCCCGGGUGACGAGCGGCGGACGGGUGAGUAAUGUCUGGGAAACUGCCUGAUGGAGGGGGAUAACUACUGGAAACGGUAGCUAAUACCGCAUAAUGUCGCAAGACCAAAGAGGGGGACCUUCGGGCCUCUUGCCAUCAGAUGUGCCCAGAUGGGAUUAGCUAGUAGGUGGGGUAACGGCUCACCUAGGCGACGAUCCCUAGCUGGUCUGAGAGGAUGACCAGCCACACUGGAACUGAGACACGGUCCAGACUCCUACGGGAGGCAGCAGUGGGGAAUAUUGCACAAUGGGCGCAAGCCUGAUGCAGCCAUGCCGCGUGUAUGAAGAAGGCCUUCGGGUUGUAAAGUACUUUCAGCGGGGAGGAAGGUGCUGAGGUUAAUAACCUCAGCAAUUGACGUUACCCGCAGAAGAAGCACCGGCUAACUCCGUGCCAGCAGCCGCGGUAAUACGGAGGGUGCAAGCGUUAAUCGGAAUUACUGGGCGUAAAGCGCACGCAGGCGGUCUGUCAAGUCGGAUGUGAAAUCCCCGGGCUCAACCUGGGAACUGCAUUCGAAACUGGCAGGCUAGAGUCUUGUAGAGGGGGUAGAAUUCCAGGUGUAGCGGUGAAAUGCGUAGAGAUCUGGAGGAAUACCGGUGGCGAAGGCGGCCCCCUGGACAAAGACUGACGCUCAGGUGCGAAAGCGUGGGGAGCAAACAGGAUUAGAUACCCUGGUAGUCCACGCCGUAAACGAUGUCGACUUGGAGGUUGUGCCCUUGAGGCGUGGCUUCCGGAGCUAACGCGUUAAGUCGACCGCCUGGGGAGUACGGCCGCAAGGUUAAAACUCAAAUGAAUUGACGGGGGCCCGCACAAGCGGUGGAGCAUGUGGUUUAAUUCGAUGCAACGCGAAGAACCUUACCUACUCUUGACAUCCAGAGAACUUUCCAGAGAUGGAUUGGUGCCUUCGGGAACUCUGAGACAGGUGCUGCAUGGCUGUCGUCAGCUCGUGUUGUGAAAUGUUGGGUUAAGUCCCGCAACGAGCGCAACCCUUAUCCUUUGUUGCCAGCGGUCCGGCCGGGAACUCAAAGGAGACUGCCAGUGAUAAACUGGAGGAAGGUGGGGAUGACGUCAAGUCAUCAUGGCCCUUACGAGUAGGGCUACACACGUGCUACAAUGGCGCAUACAAAGAGAAGCGACCUCGCGAGAGCAAGCGGACCUCAUAAAGUGCGUCGUAGUCCGGAUUGGAGUCUGCAACUCGACUCCAUGAAGUCGGAAUCGCUAGUAAUCGUAGAUCAGAAUGCUACGGUGAAUACGUUCCCGGGCCUUGUACACACCGCCCGUCACACCAUGGGAGUGGGUUGCAAAAGAAGUAGGUAGCUUAACCUUCGGGAGGGCGCUUACCACUUUGUGAUUCAUGACUGGGGUGAAGUCGUAACAAGGUAACCGUAGGGGAACCUGCGGUUGGAUCACCUCCUUA